rnacentral:rRNA from 1 species
GAGGAAUAUUGGUCAAUGGGCGGAAGCCUGAACCAGCCAAGUAGCGUGCAGGACGACGGCCCUACGGGUUGUAAACUGCUUUUAUGCGGGGAUAAAGUGAGGGACGUGUCCCUUUUUGCAGGUACCGCAUGAAUAAGGACCGGCUAAUUCCGUGCCAGCAGCCGCGGUAAUACGGAAGGUCCAGGCGUUAUCCGGAUUUAUUGGGUUUAAAGGGAGCGUAGGCUGGAGAUUAAGUGUGUUGUGAAAUGUAGACGCUCAACGUCUGAAUUGCAGCGCAUACUGGUUUCCUUGAGUACGCACAACGUUGGCGGAAUUCGUCGUGUAGCGGUGAAAUGCUUAGAUAUGACGAAGAACUCCGAUUGCGAAGGCAGCUGACGGGAGCGCAACUGACGCUUAAGCUCGAAGGUGCGGGUAUCAAACAGGAUUAGAUGCCCUGGUAGUCCGCACAGUAAACGAUGGAUGCCCGCUGUUGGUACCUGGUAUCAGCGGCUAAGCGAAAGCAUUAAGCAUCCCACCUGGGGAGUACGCCGGCAACGGUG